UACGUAGGGUGCGAGCGUUAAUCGGAAUUACUGGGCGUAAAGCGUGCGCAGGCGGUUUUGUAAGCCUGAUGUGAAAGCCCCGGGCUUAACCUAGGAAUGGCAUUUGGGACUGCAAGGCUUGAGUGCGGCAGAGGAGACUGGAAUUCCUGGUGUAGCAGUGAAAUGCGUAGAUAUCAGGAGGAAUACCGAUGGCGAAGGCAGGUCUCUGGGCUGACACUGACGCUCAUGCACGAAAGCGUGGGGAGCAAACAGG
rnacentral:rRNA from 1 species